rnacentral:rRNA from 1 species
GACGAACGCUGGCGGCGUGCCUAAUACAUGCAAGUAGAACGCUGAAGGAGGAGCUUGCUUCUCUGGAUGAGUUGCGAACGGGUGAGUAACGCGUAGGUAACCUGCCUGGUAGCGGGGGAUAACUAUUGGAAACGAUAGCUAAUACCGCAUAAGAGUAGAUGUUGCAUGACAUUUGCUUAAAAGGUGCAAUUGCAUCACUACCAGAUGGACCUGCGUUGUAUUAGCUAGUUGGUGGGGUAACGGCUCACCAAGGCGACGAUACAUAGCCGACCUGAGAGGGUGAUCGGCCACACUGGGACUGAGACACGGCCCAGACUCCUACGGGAGGCAGCAGUAGGGAAUCUUCGGCAAUGGACGGAAGUCUGACCGAGCAACGCCGCGUGAGUGAAGAAGGUUUUCGGAUCGUAAAGCUCUGUUGUAAGAGAAGAACGAGUGUGAGAGUGGAAAGUUCACACUGUGACGGUAGCUUACCAGAAAGGGACGGCUAACUACGUG